UACGUAGGGUGCGAGCGUUGUCCGGAAUUAUUGGGCGUAAAGAGCUCGUAGGCGGUGUGUCGCGUCGGCCGUGAAAACCUGGGGCUCAACUCUGGGCGUGCGGUCGAUACGGGCAGGCUGGAGUUCGGUAGGGGAGACUGGAAUUCCUGGUGUAGCGGUGAAAUGCGCAGAUAUCAGGAGGAACACCGGUGGCGAAGGCGGGUCUCUGGGCCGAUACUGACGCUGAGGAGCGAAAGCGUGGGGAGCGAACAGG
rnacentral:rRNA from 1 species